rnacentral:lncRNA from 1 species
GCAAAGUGGCAAAGUACCUCAACCUUCUAUAUUGCUUGAUAACUGUGGAUGCCAAGCCCUGUAUGAAGCUAUUGAAUGGCUUUGGUCUCCCUUGUAGGCCAUGAAUGCAUAUGGUAAUGGUGGUUGAUCAAAGCAUGCUACCAAGUGACCAAGCUUGAAUUUGAAGCAUCAUGCACACAUGGAAAACUCAAAGGCCAAGAAUGAAAGAUCAACCUUAGAAGUAGAAUUAGGAUUUGGAUUC